GCUUGUUGCGUCGGAUGUGAAAGCCCGGGGCUUAACCCCGGGUCUGCAUUCGAUACGGGCAGGCUAGAGUUCGGUAGGGGAGAUCGGAAUUCCUGGUGUAGCGGUGAAAUGCGCAGAUAUCAGGAGGAACACCGGUGGCGAAGGCGGAUCUCUGGGCCGAUACUGACGCUGAG
rnacentral:rRNA from 1 species